rnacentral:pre_miRNA from 1 species
AAUAAUCGUCAUUUUGAGUUUUUGUUUGUAAAGUUUGACCAUUCAUCUUAUUUAAAAAAAUUACGGAAUUAUUAUUUUUUUUGUUUGUGACUUGCUUUAUUAUCAAAAUUACUUUAAGUAUGACUUAUCUUUUUUAUAUUUGCACUAAUUUUUUAAAUAAGACGAAUGAUCAAACGUUGCAAGCAAAAAGUUAAAACAACAUCUAAU